GAAGAACCUUACCUGGCCUUGACAUCCACGGAAUUCGGCAGAGAUGCCUUAGUGCCUUCGGGAACCGUGAGACAGGUGCUGCAUGGCUGUCGUCAGCUCGUGUUGUGAAAUGUUGGGUUAAGUCCCGCAACGAGCGCAACCCUUAUCCUUUGUUGCCAGCACGUAAUGGUGGGAACUCAAAGGAGACUGCCGGUGAUAAACCGGAGGAAGGUGGGGAUGACGUCAAGUCAUCAUGGCCCUUACGGCCAGGGCUACACACGUGCUACAAUGGCGCAUACAAAGAGAAGCGACCUCGCGAGAGCAAGCGGACCUCACAAAGUGCGUCGUAGUCCGGAUCGCAGUCUGCAACUCGACUCCGUGAAGUCGGAAUC
rnacentral:rRNA from 1 species